CUUUCUUUGCUACACAGCGUCCUCCGUGGCGAGCUGGAGGGAAGCGCUCUCAGCAGAGAGGGUCGCCCUCACCAAGAAGCCAAAGGGAAGAGGACAGAAUCUAUCUUGUAGGGACGCCCUUGGUCUUCAGAAGGAACACUUUUUCUGUUUCACAGAGAUCUGUGGAAUGUGUGGGUUCCCUGAAGAGGUGGACGGACCCCCGGGGUCGCGCGUUUUCUCAGCCCUGGGCCCGUAGCGGAGCUCGAUCCUUCCAGAGCUCAGGGCCAGAAAUGUUGCGAUUCCGAACACUUUGCCUUUCUUCUGAGAGGAGCCGCCCGGCAGACGCUCAUCAUUAAGAAGCAACGUAAUUAACAACGAAUGUUUCCCCUUGGCGCUAAUGCGAACACCCUGGGGAACUGCCAAGUCUGAUAUGUCCACCGCAUUACAAAUGGGAUUCUCUGGCAUCUGACCAACCCUCACAAUGGCUACUGGCCAUCUCAUGCCCAACAGGACAAUGCUUAUUUCCACCAGGAGAUGGCGCAUGCCUUUUUUUUUUUUUUUUUAAAUCCCCAGGAAGGUCUCAGUGCUGCAAAAGCUCCAUGACCAUUCUGCUUCUAAACUGACGGAGCAAACAUAUAUUUCCAGUGGUAAUGCUAGGAAAUACUUUGCUAAGGAUGUUACUUUGGUCCUUCAGCCAGUGGUCAGAGAACAGAAUGACCAUACUGCAACCACCCAUGGUGAACUGACUGGCACACCUACAAAAAUCUUAUCUUUGGGGUCCCCAUAGUACCCAGUGGAUUGCCUUGCACAUUGUAGGUGCUCAGUAUGUGUUUGCUAAAGACAUGACCCUGGAUAAAUCACUUCACCUCAAUUAGUCUGUUUCCCAAAUCUGAAAAUAAAAGCAGUGAAAUGGACAAGGUGACAGUUAAGGCCUUGAAUCAGAAGAGCCUCUGACAAUGUGACAAAUAGCUUAUGCUUGCUGAAUGGCUGACUUCUCUGAAAGGGAAAACAGCAGAAUCUGAGAGGGGAGAGUGGAGCGGAGUUCUUCCUCCCCUGUGCUAACAGCCUGUAUCCUGACCAUCCUUGCCCCCGACUCCUCUCCCAGCAGCUGAGUGGCUUUUUGGACUGGGUUCUUUUUCCGAACUGCCAGCACCAACUUCCGUGCGUCUUACCUGUGCUUCAGCCGAAGUUUAACCCCUCCUGACCACGCUGCUUUCCUGUGCUGGGGGCCAGAGGUGAGGUGUUCUGGGCUGACGAAGUUAGAGGCACCAGUAUCUGCAUGGCCUGGGUCUGUGCACACAUCUCUGUCAACAAUAGGAAAAGAAGAAGCUGAGCAUGAUGGUGUUCAUGGACAGGAGCACAAAUGAAUCUUAAAAACCGAAAAAGCACAUGAAAACGAACCCCGGAGCCAGAGCAAAGCAGCACAGCUAAGUGCAGGGUUCUAAGCCUGCACCUAACAAAGUUCUCUGCCCUACGAAGGCGAAUCCACUACUGAGUGUCGUGUCUUCCUUUUUUAUCCAUGUUCCUCUGAAGCAAUAAAGCAUUAUUUCCCAA
rnacentral:lncRNA from 1 species